rnacentral:rRNA from 16 species
UUUAAAGAGUGCGUAAUAGCUCACUGGUCGAGUGGACAUGCGCCGACAAUAUACGGGGCUAAGCACGGCACCGAAGCGGCGGACUAGAUUCGUCUAGUGGUAGGGGAGCUUUCCGUCUGGGGCGAAGCCGCGGGACGACCCGCGGUGGACCGGCCGGAAGUGAGAAUGCUGGCAUGAGUAACGAGAGGGGCGUGGAAAACG